rnacentral:lncRNA from 1 species
CAAUACAGCAAUUUAGACUAUACUUUGCACUUUUAUGAAAAAUAAUAAAGUGGUGUUAUGAUAGUGUCCCUUUAAUGAACAGGCUCAGUUGAAUAAACCUAGAAUUGUUGAAUUAAUCUCUCAUUGUGUAUCACAUUGAUCUCAUAUUUAACAUUACAUUUUAUCCAGAUAUUUCUCUUAGCAUUUUCCGACAUUCAAUUCCAUGUUUUAUUGACUUCCAAGACUGCUAGAUGUCUCUAAAACAAUUCUGCCAAUAUUCACAUUGAAACAGCUUUUCUAAAAUCACUUCUCUAAUUAACCAGUAGUUGCAAACUUAACUGUAAAUUUGAACUUAACAUUUGAGUUCCAUGACUUCAGGGUAGUAUUCGGGUCUCUGUAUACAGAUCUUUUCUUCCCCAACAACUCCAUCUUUCUUGACUCCAUCCCUGUUCCUGUAUCACUUCCUGUUUUAUACCAUUCUCACAAAUACCUUGUCCACCUCUCAUUUCUUCCAUCAUCUGAUUCAAUCCUCAUGGGGGCAAGGGCAUGAUGCCAGGUUGGGUUACAGCCACCGAAGCCUUAACACUGGCAGAAGUCUCGGUGGGCCUGCAUGGAAUGCCUCAGAAAGCGUUGCUACAAUGGUGUCUUGAAAUAAAGUAGCACAAGUAAUAUUAUUGUAGUAGCUGCAUUAUCACCAUUAAAUGCUAUCUACAAGUAUGCUAUUUAAUGUUCAAAUGCUCCAAUCCUGAAAUAAAGUAGAAUUGCACCAUUACGACAAGCCUAUAUUUAAACUACAGCCAAAAGCCAAAUAGCUUUCUCUUUUUCGUUAUUUGGAGGUAGUCUAGGCCAGUUUUACAGCUGGUUUUGUCAGUGUAGUAGUCCUGUAGCUUACUGUUGUCAAACAAGUAUUAAUAGAAAUAUUUUACUAGUCAAAACUAAGAACUGUGAAGGCUAGACUACGUGGCCAAGCAUGGUCAACUGAUAACCAAAGGGUGCUCCAUUAAGGCCAUAUUAUUUGUCACCUGUAUACUUCCUCCUAGUAAUUCCACACAGAUCCAAUAAAACUUAAAGUAGCACUAUAGGGUCAUUAGGUCCCCCCCACCCUCAUGGCCUCCCUCCCGCUGGGCUAAAUGGGUUAAAACCCCUUCAGCCACUUACCUUUCUCCAGCGCCGAGCUCCCUCGGCACUGGAGAACUCUCCUCCUCCAACCGAUGUCAGAUCUGUGCGCGCAUUUAAACCGCACAUAUGAAAGUAUUACUCAACGCUUUCCUAUAGACAUCCAGCGUCUUCUCACUGUGAUUUUCACAGUGAGAAUCGUGGAAGCGCCUCUAGCGGCUGUCAGUGAGACAGCCACUAGAGGCUGGAUUAACCCUGCAGUCAGUGUAAACAUAGCGGUUUCUCUGAAACUGCUAUGUUUUCAGCUGCAGGGUUAAAACUAGAGGGACCUGGCACCCAGACCACUUAAGCUCAAUGAAGUGCCUAUAGUGGCCCUUUAAGUGUUGCAGUAAUCCAACUACAUUUCUUGGGUCCAACUAGAAACUUUAGGAUACUAUAUUUUAAUCAAAGUUCAAUAUUCUUCAAUCCACUUUAAUCUUUAACAUGAUACUGUCCCAUUCACGUCCCAUUUUUGUAUAUUCGGUUUUUUUUGUCACCAAAAACGACCUAAGUGUCUGAUGGUCAUACUUCCAAACUAUAAUCUUUCUGUUCUAGAAACAGUGUUUUUAAAAAAUAAUAAACAAAAUACUAGUGAUGUCGCGAACCGUUCGCGAACUUGCCGCGAAUGGUUCGCCGCAGUUCAUGGCGAACUCCGGUCAGCUGACACAUCCCUGCCAAUCUCUGGCAGACCCUCCCUCCCAGACCCUCCCACCUCCUGGACAGCAUCCAUGUUGAAGCUGCCUUCAACAUGGAUGCUGUCCAGGAAGAGGUGUAUACACAACACAAUUUACAUAAUAAUUUAAAGACUAGGGAUGGAGUUUUACUGAAAACUAACUUAUGAGUAUGAAAUACACACAGUGACAAAGGAAAUCAAACAUAAGUCUACAGUAUUUAGGAUACGAUGGGUGCAUUGAAAGUCAAAGACUACCUCUGCUUAAAUCUACAGCUUCCUCUUCUUGGCUUCACAGUGACCUCAUUGCCCUGUUCGACAUAAGAUAACAAUACAUAUCUGAGACAGUGUUUUUGAGUAUAGGAGGAUACCUCUUACUCUUUGGCUGCUUUUUAGCUACAACACCUCCAAACCCCAGAAAUCCAUACGCUAUUCACAGACCAAUGAUUUUGUAGUCCAUAAUUCUUCUUCUGGUCCCACACCAUUCUGCAUGAACUACCAAAUGAACAGGUUUUAAUGAUGUCCUUUUUGAAGUACAAAGAGAUAAUCCCUAAAUCCAAGUUCAUUUGUAGGUUUUGACCACUAGUUUCAAAGCCCCUAGUGCAGAAAAUCUAUCAAGUUUUGCAGUCCUGAUCCUGUAGUUUUUGCAGAUGGGUUCUCAUGGUAGUUUAUUUUUGAAAAAAAUGUUAAUAAAACAGGCAGAACAAGCAGAUUCUUAUAACAAUCAAGGAUAUGGUGGACAGACUGUGCAAAAAAGACAAUCGUAGGAUGGACCAAUGAUAGGAAGGCAUUGCUUUCGCAAGUCCGUGAUAUCAGGGCUAGCUUAUGGAAGUUUUGGGUUACAAUUACUAUAACCGCCAACUUAUUUUGAGAAUAAUAUACGUUAUGGUCAAAACUAAGCUGUUCAUGUUUUCAUCCCUUUUCCAUGAGUCUUUCCCUUGCUGUACCUCUCUAGAUCCAAGACGUCCGAUGACUAUUUAUUCAAUACACGUAUUGACAAAGUCUCCCACUGCAUCAUGAAGUUUUUUCCAUUAAAUGUAAUGAAUCUUUGCUGUGGCUUACACACAUUUGUGUUUGCUGUUACGGAUUUUACACAUUUUAUUAACGGUUUUACACCUUUGCAGCAAAAUCGCUGUAUUUAAAAAUAGCUUUCUCUGUGUAUUUCAAUCAUAUCUGUAAACAAAUUGAUCUAUGAAUCUCAUUGUGAAUAGAAAAAUCAAGCAAUGGAUGAAACGUGAAAAUUAAAUGGCAAAAUAAAACCAAUUUUCAAACCCAGGAGAACCACCACGUGUCAUGUACGAUACAUUUUCAUAAUCAUGCUAUCGUAGUUGCCUACAGGUGAACGGGGAUUUCUGUUGGUGUGCAGACGAACGCCGUUACAAUAUUUACAUGUUUGUGUUUGUCAUUUUAUUGUUAAAAGAAACUUACCCAGAAAUUUGUAAACCUUUCUGCUGUCUCAUCCAUUACCUUAAGAGCUUUAUGUGGCC